GAGAGUCCCUUGUUUAAGGAGAGGGAUUAACUAAUGGAGCCCAGCUCUGAAGAAGAGAGAUGGGGACUGCUGUUUAAGGAAAACCUAAAAAGGAGUAACCCAGAGAAUGAACUGGGAUAGGGUUCCAGAGGCAGAGGAAAGAAGAGUCUCCUGAAGGAAAGAGCCAGAGAUUGCUAGUUGGAUUGAGCCUGAGAUGAUGAAUGUUCCUGGGUGUAUCUGACUGCCUGAAGAGUAACUUGUGACAUCAGAGAUAAUGCACUCAGUACUCACUUGCUCCAGUUCAUUUGUAUGCUUGGGGAGAGUCACUAGUGCUUUAGUUGUCAUGGCAUUGACUGCCUUUGAGUUACCUCAGACUGCCAUGACAUCAUCACAGAGAAGAGUCCAUGGGGCGCUGCUGUACUCUUUUGGUAUUAUACUGGGCCCAAGAAUGCAUGCCACAAGAUAAUCUUCAACAGAACUAUAGACCGAAAGAGAGCAGUUCAAGUAACCACAGAAUAAGAGCACAGCAUACCAUGUGUCAUGGACUACAUUACUCUCCAGAAGUAGGACCAGACCUAUCAAUCACAAAUCCUGAGAAAACCUCCAGUUUUUCUGUCUCCUGGAAGCUUAAAUCCUCAGUUGGUGUAAAAUUGGCAUGGCUGUGCAGACAUCUGUGGAACUAUGUUGGUCAAAAACCAACGGAAGGAGUUUCUCCAGCUCUCUUGCUAUAAUGAGACAUAGGACAUGAGAAGUCCUUGAAAUGUUUGGUCUUGACUCAAAAUUCCUUUAUUUUUAGGCUUCCUUCAAUAACUUUCCUUGGGUUUGAUUACACUCUCACUUUCAAUGCUUUAAUUCCAUUGAGCAUGGUUGAGUUGUUUCUAAUGUCCUAAUGUCAGCAUAAGUGAAAUCAGUGAACAAGGAUAAAGCAAUUCCCAUUGACUUCAGCAUCGAAGCUUGUAGAUUGAGGCAAGAGUUGUAGAUUGAGGCCCUAGAAAACAAUUUACCAGAUGCUACCAAUUAUACUUUUUCAACUGCAAAAGGUUUAGCUUCAGUUGGGAAUAAUUAGCUAUUAACCAUACAAUAUGUUGUUCUGAAAUGAAAAUCUAAACUUUAACCUUAGUAUGAACAACACAAAAAGAAAAUCAUAGUUGUUUAACUAGUGCAGAGUGUGCUGAUUGGGAAUUGGUUUUGAGCCAGAUUUGCAAAAGAGCUCAGUGCUUUGGGUGCUGGGUUCUUUUGAAAAUGUGCUCAUCAGUCUAGUUGAUGAGCACUUUUGAAAAUCCGACUCUUAUGUAGGAAUCUAAAUGGAAGCUGAGCUUUUUUGAAAACCUGGUCUUAAUUGUGGGUGCUCAGCACCUGAAAAU